UGGGGGACACACGCAGUUAGGUGUCUGAGAGGAGCAAGGCUGGCCUGGAUCUGUGCUGAGUAGAUGCACUGAACCUUCCAGACACUUUUUUGGAGGGUGCAAGGAAGGGAAACCCUUCCCACACAUCCAGACCCCUGUCUUCAUCCCUCCGUGCUUCCACCUGAAUGAUGAGCUGUGCAGUCCAACCCGCAUCCAGUACUCAGGGCCUCCCUCCCUCUCUCCCCCCAGCUGUCUGGCUCUCCCAAGCCCCCAAUCCUCACCAGCUGCUAGAACCCUCUUAUGUUCCCCUAAUGACAAGCAUCACUGACCCACUCAGCUGCCCAACUCCCCUGACAUGAGCUACUGAGGUUAUAGAAGUCAGACCCCAACACCUACCCCAAGUCAUAAGAACGGCCAGACUGGCUCAGACCAAAGGUCCAUCUAGCCCAGUAUCCUAUCUUCCGACAGUGGCCAAUGCCAGGUGCCUUGGAAUGCACAGACCAGGGAAUCAUCAAGUGAUCCAUUCCCGAUUGUCUUAACAAAAGGUUCCCCCAAACCUAGGGCCAGAGUGAUGCUGAGGGUAUAAUUAACAGUAGGCCCCAACUGAUCCAAAGCCUAUUGGAAAGACCCCCAUUAACUUCAACAGGCUUCGGAUCAGGCCCCUAGGCCACACACCUCUUUGCUGUAGAAACCAAUGUAGAAAGGAGCGUGUCCAAUCUAACUACCAUGCCAUUUCUAGUGUGCCCAUCGCCAGGCCGGAGAAAUCUAUCUAGAUGGCUCAAACAAUUCCCCAGGACAGUUACAGAGCAAGGGAAUGACCUGAACGCUAGUUACGUGCAUCUGAUCCUGACACUUUAGAAGUUCUAGACAGCCUAGUCCCGUAGCUCUCAGGUAGUGGGUGUUUCCUAGGGCAGGGUUACCUUCUGAAAUAAAAGCUGUGGAAGGCGCAUCUCAUUUUUCAGAGCUCGCCAUGGGCCUGAAGUACUCCUGCUAAUACAGACCUUCAUUAGCUGGUGCAUUUUACAAGAGGACUCGUGGAUGAAGAUGAUGUUUGAAUUGUUCUUUGUUGAGUGGCAAGGAGAAGCAGGUCUCUGAGGGCAAAAAUCCUGAAGGCUAAUGAAAUCGAACCAGGAGAAAAGCAUUAAAGCCUUGGAAAAUCACACAGAGGAAAAGGCAGCUUCUCGUCGAUUUCCUUAGAUGGCCAAGCUCUCUGGGACAAGACCAACUUUUCAUUCUGCGGUUGUACAGCACCUACCACACUGAGAGUCCUGGUCCCUGAAUAGACUCCUUGAUGCUAGUGCAAUACAAGUUUUUAUACCACCCUCCAAAGCAUCUGAGCACCUUCCAACACUGCGUUAAGCAACAGCUGUCACGUGAUUAUUUUUUAUGAAGGGCAAUUUUUGAGGAGAGGCCGCGUUGUCCAGUGGGCAAGGUACAGGACUGGGAGUCAGGAGACAUGGAUUCUUUUUGCCAGCUCCGCCACUGACCUGAUGUGCCCCCUUGGGCAAGUCACUCAACCACUCAGUUUCUUCAUGGGGUACUUACCUUCCUUUUUAAAAGUACGUUGAGACCCUUAGGUUAUAAAUGCUAAAUAGUAUGAAUUUACCCAAGGCAGUGCCCAAGUAAAUUGCCUCAAAAUAUUUUGUAUUUAUGUUACAUUUAUAAUUUGAGGAUCUCAACUUGCUUUACAAGCAUUAAUUGAUUCUGUGAAGGAGGUAAGUAUAAUUAUGUCCAUUGUCAGGCUGAAGUCAGUGGUCACACAGCACAGUGAUUUCAAUGGGACUCGGGCACCUAACUUGCUUAGGUGCUUUUGAAAAUCCCACUAGCUGCCUAUGUGCAUCUUUAGGUCCCUAAACACAUUUGAAAAUCUGGCCCCAUGGGGAUUUAUACUUCACAGGUUGAUUGGUGGGGAAAUCAAGGGCCCAAUCCUGCCAGGAGCUGAGUGCAAGUGCAGAGAUGUCUCAACACCCAUUAUAACGAUUCAUUGAGAGGCCUGCUCACCGUCAGCUCCCCUGGAAGAUAAAGAGCCUAGCCUGCUCCUGCUUCCAUUGAAUCAAUGAAGUUGGAAAGUGUUCAAUAAACGUCUCAGGGGCCUGAGUCUGAGAUCUUGUUUGUACUGGGAAUUAGCCCCAGUCUCAGCUAU